rnacentral:sRNA from 1 species
GCUAGGAGUGUUCUUGAGGCACACACAUUCAAGCACAGUGCGUGCGGCCUGAAGAGAGGGAAGAGGAAAAGUCCUGUGGGGACAGGGUUCCUGCCCAGCCUUCGUCCCCUCCUCAGCCUGGCAGGAUCUUGCUCUCAGGCUGCGUGUGGUCAUAGAAGCAACAGCAAUGUCACCCUUGGAGAGCCCUCCACGCUCCCCGUCUCAGGAGACACAGUCCAAUCUCUCACCCAGAACUCAAGGGAGGAAGACCCAAAAAAAUCUGCAAAAGACAAGUUAGAAGUGAGAAAAACCAGGAGCCGGGAGAAAUCCCCCUGCCCCACAGACUGCCCCCAAUGUCUGCUUCUGAAGGGGACAAGAACCCCAGACCUUGCUCUUCAUAGGCCUCGCUGCCUGGACACCCAUGUGGCAUCCGCCCCGAGCUGGAGGUGCAAAGCCAAGAUGAUUUAAUUUAUAGAAAGGACAAAGAUGUCGUGUAGCAGAUUUAAUCAUCGGAGAGUUUAAAAAAAAAAAAAUAAGGACUGGGCUAAUGUCGUAAUUUACAUUUCAGGAUAAUAAAGAGAGAAAGACAGAAAAGGAAGGGACCCAUAGCCUGCAAAAAGGGGAUGGAGAGGGGAGGCUGGCCAGGGGGCUCUGGGAGCCCAAUAGAUUUGCCUGGAACACCAAUAAAUUUUAAAAACAAACCCAGAAAGCUAAAGACAGCCCCUGGAAAGUGCUGGGAAAAUGGACCAUCGAUUUUAGACUUCAUCUGCAUUUUGUAUUUUAAUAAUGCUC